UGACACUGACAGCUGUAGGUGGAGCAGAUACGCCUGCUACUAAAAUACCAAACUAUCAGUUACUCUGAAUGAGCCUUGCAUGCAGAAGGAUUUUGUCUUGACAACAGCCUUGACGAUUGUGGGUGCCUUGAUUCUUCUGGAUGGAGCUACCCUGUCAUGUGUUGUGUGUGUGGCAUGGUGAACUGGGCAUUGACUGGCAGUCACACGUCGGCAUGGAGCUUAAACUACUGGCCUUGAGAGAGCAGAUUCCUUCAGAUCAGUGGUGGUCUUAAGGCCGUGAUCAGAUCUUUGCCAAAUGUAAUUUUUGGGUCGACAUGGCACAGCAUCUACAGCAAGAAGGAAACCUAUGGAAAUUGUUGAAAGCUACACUUGAAGCUGGAUUAGACCAAGCUAUUGAAGUGAUACAGGAGUCCAAUUCUGUCAUUACCCCGGGUGAGAGUCCAGAUAUUUGUUGUCCAGUUGCUCAAUAGUAGGCUUUUCAAGCUACUUCAGGUCUUGCAUAACAUUCUGCAUAUUUCACUGUCACUUUAAUCAUCUCAAACUUUUG